CAGCAUGGCUGCCCAGAUCCUCACACUGAAGAUGAGGAUGACCUAGAUGUUCUCAUGGUUGAGGUAGUAAAUAACAGAAAUGGACUAGCCUGCGGAGAUGCUUUUUCUAUGCGGAACUACUUUACAAUAAACAAUAGCCAUGGAUUGGUAACACAUUUUUUAUUUUAUUCAGAAUUGAAAAUAAUGGGACCCCGAACUGGUGCUGGUUUUAAAAGAACAUUGGUACUGCUGCUGCUUUACGUUUCUCUCCUCCUCCUUCAUAGCCGUCUCAACAUGAGGUUUCUCUCCUCCUCCUCCUUCAUAGCCAACUCAAUAUGAGGUUUCUCUCCUCCUCCUUCAUAGCCAACUCAGUAUGAGGUUUCUCUCCUCCUCCUCCUUCAUAGCCAACUCAAUAUGAGGUUUCUCUCCUCCUCCUCCUUCAUAGCCAACUCAAUAUGAGGUUUCUCUCCUCCUCCUUCAUAGCCAACUCAAUAUGAGGUUUCUCUCCUCCUCCUCCUUCAUAGCCAACUCAAUAUGAGGUUUCUCUCCUCCUCCUCCUUCAUAGCCAACUCAAUAUGAGGUUUCUCUCCUCCUCCUUCAUAGCCAACUCAAUAUGAGGUUUCUCUCCUCCUCCUCCUUCAUAGCCAACUCAACAUUAGGUUUCUCUCCUCCUCCUUCAUAGCCAACUCAAUAUGAGGUUUUACAUCUUCAUAUUUUAAUUUAACCCUUAUUUCACCUGGUAAGUUGACUGAGAACACAUUCUCAUUUACAGCAACGACCUGGGGAAUAGUUACAGGGGAGAGGAGGGGAAUGAAUGAGCCAAUUGUAAGUUGGGGAUGAUUAGUUGACCGUGAUGGUAUGAGGGCCAGUUUGAGAAUUUAGCCAGGACACCAGGGGUUAACACCCCUACUCUUACAAUAAAGUCCAAUGAGAUCUUAAAUUACCACAGAGUCAAAACACCAGUUUAACGUCACAUCCGAAAGACAGCACCCUACACAGGGAAAUGUCCCCAAUCACUGCCCUGGGGCAUUGGGAUAUUUUUUGGACCAGAUGAAAAGGUGCCUCCUACUGGCCCUCCAACACCACUUCCAGCAGCAUCUGGUGCCCCAUCCAGGACCAAUCCUGCUUAGCUUCAGAAGCAAGCCAGCAGUGUGGUAUGCUGCUCUACUUUUAAAUACAUUAGUUUGAGCUCGUUAAAUUCCAUGGGCAGUUCCUCAUGCAUGCUCAGCAUCUUUGCCUUUGUGUCACUAACCCGGGCCAGAAGACGAUCUCCCUCCUGGCUGCUGCAGAUGUAGCAGGCUGACCUUCAUCCUGUUAAGACAAGUCUGUCUUAACCUCCAAGCUAUGGUGAUCAUCAGCCUCUAGAAAAUGAUUACAUUGCUGCAUUAGAGAACAUUAUUUCUUCAAGAGUUGAGUUCAUUACGUCAGUUUUAUUAUGGGAGUGCAAGAGAUGACUGACAAUAUCACAUAUUCCCUGCAGUCUGGGGAUGGAACAUGUUGAAUGAAUGUGUCCUACCAAAUGAAGAUUGGAACGGUCCCCCAUCUGAACUGUCCAAAUGGUCGUUGUCUAGGAUACCCUCCAGGGGUUUCUGGCUAUCAAUGAGCCCUGUCAACAAGUCUCCCAGCUCAUCUGCCGAUGGUCUUACUGAGGGCCAGCCACCAUCUUGAAACGCUCCCCACGACCAACCGCAUUUGUCUUCUUUAUGUCGAUUUUUAUGUUUUUUCCACAGGACUUUAGAAAGACAAGACAAUAUCGAAAUGAUGUUAGUAAUUAUGGAUGAUAUUUUUUGUUACAUUUCUGUCUCACAAAUACAUUUUGGUCCCACUGUGUUAUGUUACAGAAGAAAACUACCAUUUCAGAGUGACUCGGAUUUGUAAAAAGUGGGCAAACAAUAAAUCCAGUAUCUUACCUGAAGUUGUAGUGUCCUUUUGUUUACUUUUUUAAUUUGAGUUUAAUUCAUUACAAAUGGUAUCAUUAUUUUUGUGGUUUUCUGUUGAUGAAUCAUGCGGUCACGAAAAUGGAUUUAAUCAAAGUCAUUCCGUGGGUUUCGCUUCGAUCUAUAACCAGCCUUCUGCCUGGCCUUGAUGUGAUUAUCAUUGAAAAAGUCCAGGUAAUCAAAUCAAAUCAAAUGUAUUUAUGAAGCCCUUCUUACAUCAGCUGAUAUCUC
rnacentral:lncRNA from 1 species